rnacentral:lncRNA from 1 species
AUUAGAGCACGAGUGAGGAGAGGUAGAGCAGACAAGCUGACUCCCAGUGAAUAGGGAGGCAGAUGUGGGACUUGAUCCCAGGACCCCAAGAUCAUGAUCUGAGCUAAAAGCAAAUGCUCAACUGACUGAGCUCCCAGGCACUCCUACCUACAUCUGUAAUUUUUAAAAGAUCUUUGGGGUGCCUGAGUGGCUCAGUUAAGCGUCCAACUCUUGAUUUCAGCUCCAGUCAUGAUCUCAGGGUCAUGGAAUUGAGCCCCAAGUUGAGCUCUGAGUUCAGGGAGUCAGCUUGAGAUUCUCUUCCCCAACCCCCCUCACGUGCACAUGUGCACUCUCUUUAAAUCUUUUAAUAAAAAGAUACAUCUUUGCCUAUAAUAAAGACUGCUUUUACCCAUUCUUGUACCCUUUGUCCAACUGGAUUGGCUGACCAAGUUAAAGCAUACUGACUGGGCUUCUCUGGUAUGCUAGAGAAGUACUGCUUCCACCAGUUGAGUUGUGUUUACAUCCUGUUAGCUGUUUGUUCCCAAACUUGUUUACGCUAGUGUCAGUCAUUUUAAUUAUAGAAUUUAAAUAUGACCUAAACCAAUGAUACACGAAUAUGAAAAAUUCUAAGUUGAGGGAAACCUUAAAGAUAGCUAAAAAAUAAGUCACUGACAAGACAGUCGUGUCCAAGAUAAUUGUAAAUGAUAGGGGAGGACUGCAAAAACAAAAUCUCAAAAAUACAGGCUCUCUGACUUGAUUGCUUCACUUGUUUAAGUUCUUGGUCCACUUAAAAAAAAUAAAGUAGGAAUAGUAGAUGAUGCAUUGUGCUUUUAGUUUAUGUGGGAGAAAUAGUGAGAAGCUCCAAUCAGUUGAUGUGUAUUUUAAAAGAUCUUCGCUCAAAAGAUUGCCAAUGUAAUCCUCACUUUAACUGCUGUUUUUUGUUUUUUAGGUCUAUAUGGAAAAAGAUUUGUUAUGUAUUUGAAAAGUAUUUACUUCUAAGAACCUGAUGAUAAUUCUUCCCUUUUCUUGUUCAUUUUUAUGAUAGCUUUUAAAUAUACAGAGGGAGAGGCUAUUAAUGAGCACUUUAUGCUCAUCACAGAUUUAUCAGUUACUAAAAUUUUGCCAUGUCUGUAUCAUCUUUUAAAAAGUUUUUUAAAAUUUCGCCUAUAAGCAUUGCAGUAUGUGUCGAUGAUGACUUAGUCUUUUAAACACAGCCACAUUGUGUUAACAUUCUUAGCAAAAUUAACAGCACUUCCUUAAUAUAAUCUAAUGGCUCUGUUCAUAUAAAAAUUUUGUCUCAAAAUUUAUUUUUUUUUAAGAGUGAGGGCAUGCAUUCAGAGGCAGAGGGAAAGGAUCUCAAGCAGACUCUACACUAAACAGGGAGCCUGAUACAUGCUCAGUCCCACAAUGCUAAGAUCAUCACCUGAGCCUAAAUCAAGAGUCUCACGCUCAUCCAACUGAGCCACCCAGGCGCCCCUCAAAAUGUCUUUUUAUGGUUGUUUUCUUCAAAUCAGGAUACAGGCAAGGUCUACACACUGCCUUUGGUUUUAGGUCUCUGAUUUUGUGGUAGUUCUCUCCCUCCCUCCUCUUUAAAUUCCAUUGAUAUACUGGGGCCUUUACCUCUUAGAAUAUCAUACAUUCUGAAUUUGGCUGAUUGCUUCUGUACAUACCCUUUGUUAAAUCUAGAGUUUUGAUUAAAUAAGCGCAGGUUCAAUUUUUAGGCAAGAAUCCUUCGCAAGUGGUGGUGUGUACUUUCUGCUGCAUCACAUCAUGGCAUACAGAGUGUCUCACCCCAGAUCAAUCAUAAGAUUGAUCAGCGGGGUGGGUUCAGGUGGUGUCAGCCUAAUCCACUUAUUAAUAAGUUCCCCAUCAAAAAAAUAAUAUAAAGUUAAAAAGUUCCUCAUCAAUAUUUCACCUAAAUUUUAACAUCUAUUGAUAAAUGUUGUUCCAUAUUUCAUCAGGAGUAGCAAAAUGGUAAUUGUUCUUUAAUUCAUUUAUUAGCUAGAAUUCUAAUUAGCAUGUUGGCUAACAGUUCAUGCAAGAAAGGAUAAAUGCUUGAUGUUUUUCCUUCAUCAAGUUUUACAAUAGAGAUUUGGUGCCCUGGCAAUCUUCAGUUAUGACUAGUGUGCUUCUCAUUUUUAAGAAAUUAUAAAAUCAAGAAUUUUUAUCUGUAGUGUUUCAAUCAAUAAGUUACUCAUUUUGAUGCUCACAUUUUCCCAUCUUUGGUCUGCCAAGUUAGCACUCGUGUCCAGUGAUCCCUUUAACCUUCCUUUGGGUGUUCUCUUUUUUAUGAAUCUACCAACUACUAGUUCUAAGUAUACAGAACUAGUUCUUUUUUUUUUUUUUUUUUUUUUUUUUUUUUAACAGAACUAGUUCUUAAGUAAUAAGAGGACUUGGACAAAAUAAGUUUGGAUCCCCGUACACGGAAAAUUUCUAAAAGGAAAAAUAAGAAACUGGUAUUAUAGGAAAUGCGGGGGG